rnacentral:rRNA from 1 species
UCCGUAGGUGAACCUGCGGAGGGAUCAUUACCGAGUUUACAACUCCCAAACCCCUGUGAACAUACCAAUUGUUGCCUCGGCGGAUCAGCCCGCUCCCGGUAAAACGGGACGGCCCGCCAGAGGACCCCUAAACUCUGUUUCUAUAUGUAACUUCUGAGUAAAACCAUAAAUAAAUCAAAACUUUCAACAACGGAUCUCUUGGUUCUGGCAUCGAUGAAGAACGCAGCAAAAUGCGAUAAGUAAUGUGAAUUGCAGAAUUCAGUGAAUCAUCGAAUCUUUGAACGCACAUUGCGCCCGCCAGUAUUCUGGCGGGCAUGCCUGUUCGAGCGUCAUUUCAACCCUCAAGCCCAGCUUGGUGUUGGGACUCGCGAGUCAAAUCGCGUUCCCCAAAUUGAUUGGCGGUCACGUCGAGCUUCCAUAGCGUAGUAGUAAAACCCUCGUUACUGGUAAUCGUCGCGGCCACGCCGUUAAACCCCAACUUCUGAAUGUUGACCUCGGAUCAGGUAGGAAUACCCGCUGAACUUAAGCAUAUCAAUAGCGGAGGAAA